AUACGGAGGGUGCAAGCGUUGUUCGGAAUCACUGGGCGUAAAGGGCGCGCAGGCGGUUUGGUAAGUCAGAUGUGAAAGCCCACGGCUCAACCGUGGAAGUGCAUUUGAAACUGUCAGACUUGAGUACUAGAGGGGAAAGUGGAAUUCCCGGUGUAGAGGUGAAAUUCGUAGAUAUCGGGAGGAAUACCGGUGGCGAAGGCGACUUUCUGGCUAGAUACUGACGCUGAGGCGCGAAAGCGUGGGGAGCAAACAGGAUUAGAAACCCUGGUAGUCC
rnacentral:rRNA from 1 species